rnacentral:rRNA from 1 species
UACGUAGGGUGCGAGCGUUGUCCGGAAUUACUGGGCGUAAAGAGCUCGUAGGUGGUUUGUCGCGUUGUUCGUGAAAACCGGGGGCUUAACCCUCGGCGUGCGGGUGAUACGGGCAGACUGGAGUACUGCAGGGGAGACUGGAAUUCCUGGUGUAGCGGUGGAAUGCGCAGAUAUCAGGAGGAACACCGGUGGCGAAGGCGGGUCUCUGGGCAGUAACUGACGCUGAGGAGCGAAAGCGUGGGGAGCGAACAGG